rnacentral:rRNA from 1 species
UACGAAGGGGGCUAGCGUUGUUCGGAUUCAUUGGGCGUAAAGGGUGCGUAGGCGGCGCGGUAAGUCGGGUGUGAAAUCUCGGAGCUUAACUCCGAAACUGCAUUCGAUACUGCCGUGCUUGAGGACUGGAGAGGAGACUGGAAUUUACGGUGUAGCGGUGAAAUGCGUAGAUAUCGUAAGGAAGACCAGUGGCGAAGGCGGGUCUCUGGACAGUUCCUGACGCUGAGGCACGAAAGCGUGGGGAGCAAACAGG